rnacentral:rRNA from 1 species
UACGUAGGGUCCGAGCGUUGUCCGGAAUUACUGGGCGUAAAGAGCUCGUAGGUGGUUUGUCGCGUUGUUCGUGAAAACUCACAGCUUAACUGUGGGCGUGCGGGCGAUACGGGCAGACUUGAGUACUGCAGGGGAGACUGGAAUUCCUGGUGUAGCGGUGGAAUGCGCAGAUAUCAGGAGGAACACCGGUGGCGAAGGCGGGGUCUCUGGGCAGUAACUGACGCUGAGGAGCGAAAAGCGUGGGGGAGCGAACAGG